CUUUGGUGUGCUGUGGGGAAGAGCAACAGUCAAAAUGGAUGUCCCUCUCCCCGCCCCAUGUACCCUCCCCCACUCCCCAUAGGAAGCAUAGACUCCUUCUGCCUUGGACAUGAACAACUGGUUCUCCUCAUGAAAUCUGAGCCUCAGCUCAACCACCACACCAAGAGGACACAACCUGGGCAGAAAACAACUUCUGAAGGUCUCCUGAAGCCAAACUUGGCUACAGUCCUCUAUGUCUGGAGUGCAAACUUCAAAGGAAAAAACAGCUUCUGUGGAUUAGUGGCCACGAGAGCUUUAAGGGUAAGAAAAUGGAAGCCUGGCCUGGUAUGUGACUGCACAGUGUGUGAGGUAUCAGUCAUGGCAGUUCUCACUCCCUCAAGCCUUAGUAUACCCAUCCCCACAGUUCUCCAGAGCUAACAGAGCUGG